rnacentral:rRNA from 1 species
UUUAAAGAGUGCGUAAUAGCUCACUGGUCAAGCGUCCUUGCGCCGAAAAUGUACGGGACUAAGCAUCACGCCGAAGACAUGGGCUCCGUAAGGAGCGGUAGGGGAGCGUUGUGUUCUGCAUUGAAGAUAGACUGUAAAGACUAUUGGAGCGUUCACAAGUGAGAAUGCCGGCAUGAGUAGCGAUAAAGGGGGUGAGAUUCCCCCUCGCCGAUAAUCCAAGGGUUCCCCGGCAAGGCCAAUCCGCCGGGGGUUAGUCGGUACCUUAGGU